rnacentral:rRNA from 1 species
AUUGAACGCUGGCGGCAUGCUUUACACAUGCAAGUCGAACGGUAACAGGCCGCAAGGUGCUGACGAGUGGCGAACGGGUGCGUAAUGCAUCGGAACGUGCCCAGUCGUGGGGGAUAACUACUCGAAAGAGUAGCUAAUACCGCAUACGAUCUAUGGAUGAAAGCGGGGGACCGUAAGGCCUCGCGCGAUUGGAGCGGCCGAUGUCAGAUUAGGUAGUUGGUGGGGUAAAGGCUCACCAAGCCAACGAUCUGUAGCUGGUCUGAGAGGACGACCAGCCACACUGGGACUGAGACACGGCCCAGACUCCUACGGGAGGCAGCAGUGGGGAAUUUUGGACAAGGGGCGCAAGCCUGAUCCAGCAAUGCCGCGUGCAGGAAGAAGGCCUUCGGGUUGUAAACUGCUUUUGUACGGAACGAAACGGCUCUGGUUAAUACCCGGGGCUAAUGACGGUACCGUAAGAAUAAACACCGGCAAACUACGU